UACGUAGGGGGCAAGCGUUGUCCGGAAUCAUUGGGCGUAAAGCGCGUGUAGGCGGCUCGGUAAGUCUGCUGUGAAAGUCCAGGGCUCAACCCUGGGAUGCCGGUGGAUACUGUCGAGCUCGAGUCCGGAAGAGGCGAGUGGAAUUCCUGGUGUAGCGGUGAAAUGCGCAGAUAUCAGGAGGAACACCAAUGGCGAAGGCAGCUCGCUGGGACGGUACUGACGCUGAGACGCGAAAGCGUGGGGAGCAAACAGG
rnacentral:rRNA from 1 species